rnacentral:rRNA from 1 species
UACGUAGGGGGCAAGCGUUGUCCGGAAUCAUUGGGCGUAAAGCGCGUGUAGGCGGCUCGGUAAGUCCGCUCUGAAAGCCCGGGGCUCAACCCCGGGAGGCGGGUGGAUACUGCUGAGCUCGAGUCCGGAAGAGGAGUGUGGAAUUCCUGGUGUAGCAGUGAAAUGCGCAGAUAUCAGGAGGAACACCAAUGGCGAAGGCAGCACUCUGGGACGGUACUGACGCUGAGACGCGAAAGCGUGGGGAGCAAACAGG